rnacentral:tRNA from 1 species
GUGGAUAAAGCUCAGUGGUAGAGUGCAUGCCUAGCAUGCGCGAGGUCCUGGGUUCAACCCCCAGUACCUUCA